rnacentral:rRNA from 1 species
GACGAACGCUGGCGGCGUGCUUAACACAUGCAAGUCGAACGGAAAGGCCCUGCUUUUGUGGGGUGCUCGAGUGGCGAACGGGUGAGUAACACGUGAGUAACCUGCCCUUGACUUUGGGAUAACUUCAGGAAACUGGGGCUAAUACCGGAUAGGAGCUCCUGCUGCAUGGUGGGGGUUGGAAAGUUUCGGCGGUUGGGGAUGGACUCGCGGGUUAUCAGCUUGUUGGUGGGGUAGGGGCUUACGAGGGCUUUGACGGGUAGCCGGCCUGAGAGGGGGACCGGCCACAUUGGUACUGAGAUACGGACCAGAACCCUACGGGACGCAGCAGGGGGAAAUAUGGCACAAUGGGGGGAAGCGUGAUGCAGCAACGCCGCGUGCGGGAUGACGGCUUUCGGGUUGUAAACCGCUUUCGCCUGUGACGAAGCGUGAGUGACGGUAAUGGGUAAGGAAGCAACGGCUAACUACGUG